rnacentral:rRNA from 1 species
GACGAACGCUGGCGGCGUGCUUAACACAUGCAAGUCGAACGGAAAGGCCCCUUUGGGGGUACUCGAGUGGCGAACGGGUGAGUAACACGUGAGUAACCUGCCCUUGACUUCGGGAUAACUUCAGGAAACUGGGGCUAAUACCGGAUAGGAAUCCUUGCUGCAUGGUGGGGGUUGGAAAGCUUCGGCGGUUUUGGAUGGACUCGCGGCUUAUCAGCUUGUUGGUGGGGUAGUGGCUUACCAAGGCUUUGACGGGUAGCCGGCCUGAGAGGGCGACCGGCCACAUUGGGACUGAAAGACGGCCCAGACUCCUACGGGAGGCAGCAGUGGGGAAUAUUGCACAAUGGGCGGAAGCCUGAUGCAGCAACGCCGCGUGCGGGAUGACGGCCUUCGGGUUGUAAACCGCUUUCAGCAGGGGCGAAGCUUGUGGUGACGGUACCUGCAGAAGAAGCACCGGCUAACUACGUG